rnacentral:rRNA from 1 species
AAAACGACUCUCGGCAACGGAUAUCUCGGCUCUCGCAUCGAUGAAGAACGUAGCGAAAUGCGAUACUUGGUGUGAAUUGCAGAAUCCCGUGAACCAUCGAGUCUUUGAACGCAAGUUGCGCCCUAAGCCAUUAGGCUGAGGGCACGUCUGCCUGGGUGUCACGC